GCUUGAACCACAAGACAGAAUGAAUUAAAAAUCCAAUAGUUGCCUGGCCUGUCGGCUGGAAAGACAAGAAUGACCCUUCACAGAUUUUGUGCACGGUGUUUGCCUCGAGGACCCUUUACAAAAAAUGGCCACACAACCUCUGGGAAUUCCCACUUUGA